rnacentral:rRNA from 1 species
ACACUCCUGCGGGAGGCAGCAGUGGGGAAUAUUGGACAAUGGGCGCAAGCCUGAUCCAGCCAUGCCGCGUGAGUGAUGAAGGCCCUAGGGUUGUAAAGCUCUUUCACCGGUGAAGAUAAUGACGGUAACCGGAGAAGAAGCCCCGGCUAACUUCGUGCCAGCAGCCGCGGUAAUACGAAGGGGGCUAGCGUUGUUCGGAUUUACUGGGCGUAAAGCGCACGUAGGCGGACUAUUAAGUCAGGGGUGAAAUCCCGGGGCUCAACCCCGGAACUGCCUUUGAUACUGGUAGUCUUGAGUUCGAUAGAGGUGAGUGGAAUUCCGAGUGUAGAGGUGAAAUUCGUAGAUAUUCGGAGGAACACCAGUGGCGAAGGCGGCUCACUGGCUCGAUACUGACGCUGAGGUGCGAAAGCGUGGGGAGCAAACAGGAUUAGAUACCCGAGUAGUCCCAUGA